GCAACCCCGCUGGCAAUUCCGGUUGCUCCACCGCGCCACGCAGGCCCCACUUCUUUCCGCCUGCCUAAUUGCCUUCUGCCCCGUAACCCAGCGCGACGAAGUGACAACCGAACGACGCAACGCAACCGGGCGGCGAAAAAGAUAGCGAAAACCCAGCGAAGAAAAAGAAGCAAAAAGCGAGCCUCCCGAUCCCCACCCCCGAGCCCCCCAACCACCGCCGGCGAUCGCCGCCGCCGCGGAUGCGAUGCGCCCCCCCUCAUGCGGCCGCGGAGGCACCGUGGGCCGCGCAGGGUGAGAGAUCCCCGCGCGUCGGCACUGCCUCNNNNNNNNNNNNNNNNNNNNNNNNNNNNNNNNNNNNNNNNNNNNNNNNNNNNNNNNNNNNNNNNNNNNNNNNNNNNNNNNNNNNNNNNNNNNNNNNNNNNGUCUAGACUCUUUGUCGUCUGCCUCUGGACUCUUUGUUGUCCGCCAGUAGACGGCAAAGAAGGUACUGUAGUUUGACCUACCGUUCCCUCGGUCGGGUGGGCCCAAUCCAAAGCUUUGCCGUCUGUUGUCCUAAUCUUUACCGUCGGCCGUUGACGGCAAAGAAGUGACUGAUGGCAAAGACAUUCUAUGCCAUCAGCCUGUUCUUUACCGUCAGCUUUGUGGCAGCGGACGGCAAAGACAUUCUUUUCCGUUAGCUAGCGGACGACAAAGAUUUAACACACGGCGAUGAACUGAAUUCCAGUAGUGAUAGCAAGGGACAAACAGCAUAUGAUCCAACUAUAUUAAUAAGGCCCAUGAUAUAUCAAGAUCAUGACAUAUGAAGNGUAUGUAAUUUCUUUACGGCUGAUGUUAAUUUGCAGCACCACUAGCAGAUCUCCUAAAACUAAAGAAAAAUUGGAUGGAAGCCCAAACCGACGAAAGGGGAGAGAGCCACGCCUCCCUAUAUCGGGGUAUAUGAUUGGCUAAUUAACCUUCUAUAUGGUGGGCUAAUUAAACUGAUAUCUAAGACAUGCAUGCAAAAUUAAAGAAGAAACAUAUUCUCUUUGUUCUUAAAUAUUUGUCCUUUUAGAUAUUUCACUACGGACUGCAUACGGAUGUAUAUAGACAUAUUUUAGAGUGUAAGUUUAUUCAUUUUGCUCCGUAUGUAGUCCAUAGUGAAAUCUUUACAAGGUCUUAUAUUUAGGAACGGAGGGAGUAGAAUAAAACAACAGCGGAGGAGGGAGUAGAAUAAAACAACAGCGGAGCAUGUCUCGCACAUCAAACCUCACCGAGAAACAACAGCGGAGCAUGUCUCGCACAUCAAACCUCACCCAAAAGUGUCAGCUCAACAGUGAGCAAUUUCCGUUUCAACAACCAUAAGACAAACAUCCUGUUUUGUCAAAAUUAACAACCACCAGAAAGUGAAUUGCCAGAAUACAUGUUACNNNNNNNNNNNNNGAGAGAGAGANNNNNNNNNNNNNNNNNNNNNNNNNNNNNNNNNNNNNNNNNNNNNNNNNNNNNNNNNNNNNNNNNNNNNNNNNNNNNNNNNNNNNNNNNNNNNNNNNNNNUUGACAUCGUGGUUCAUCCGAUGAGAUCAUCGUGGAGCAAGUGGGAGCCACCAUGGGUAUCCAGACCCCGCUGAUGGUUAUUGCCGGAGAGGCGUCUCGGUCAUGUCUGCAUGUCUCCCGAACCCGUAGGGUCUACACACUUAAGGUUCGAUGACGCUAGGGUUAUAGGGAAUUGUUAUAUGAGGUUACCGAAAGUUGUUUGGAGUCCCGGAUGAGAUCCCGAACGUCACGAGGAGCUCCGGAAUGGUCCGGAGGUAAAGAUUGAUAUAUAGGACGGAUGGUUUCGGAUACCGGAAGUGUUGCGGGCAUCACCAGUAACGUACCGGGACCACCGGGACCACCGGAGCUGGCCCCGGGGGUCCACCGAAGGGGGGCAACGACCCCAGGAGGUAAGGUGGGCCAAGUGGGGAAAGGAACCAGCCCCUUGGUUGACUGGUGCGCCUCCCCACUCAGCCCAAUGCGGCGGGGAGAGAAAAAGGGGGGCAAACCCUAAGCUAGGUGGGCCUAAGGCCCACCAGGGGUGCGCCACACCCCUCCUCCCCCCCUUGGCCGCAGCACCAGCCCCCAUCUAGGGCUGCCCCCCCCCCCCCGGCGGGGGAACCCCUCAAGGGGGCGCAGCCCCUCCCUCCCCCUAUAUAUAGUGGGCACUUUUGGCCAUUGGAGAACAGACUUUUGCCUCUCUCUCGGCGCAGCCCUGCCCUUCUUCCUCCUCCUCUCUGCCAUUGCUUGGCGAAGCCCUGCCGGGAGACCUCAUCUCUCCAUCGACACCAUGCCGUCGUGCUGCUGGAGUUCUUCCCCAACCUCUCCCUCCUCCUUGCUGGACCAAGGUGCGGGAGACGUCACCGGGUUGCACGUGUGUUGAACGCGGAGGUGCCGUAGUUCGGCACUAGAUCGGAAUCGCUCCGAGUACGACUCCGUCAACCACGUUCUAGCAACGCUUCCGCUUAGCGAUCUUCAAAGGUAUGAAGAUGCUCUUACCCCUCUCUCGUUGCUGGUCUCUCCAUAGGAAGAUCUGAAUAUGCGUAGGAAAAUUUUGAAUUUAUGCUACGUUACCCAACAGUGGUAUCACAGCCAGGUUUUCUAUGCGUAGAUUCUAUGCAUGAGUAGAACAAAAAGUUGUGGGCAAUGAUUUGUCAAUUUGCUUGCCGCUACUAGUCUUAUUCUUUUCCGGUGGUAUUGUGGGAUGAAGCGGCCCGGACCGACUUUACACGUACGUUUACGUGAGACUGGUUCCACAGACAGACAUGCACACCGUGCAUAAAGGUGGCUAGCGGGUGUCUGUCUCUCCUACUCUAGUCGGAUUGGAUUUGAUGAAAAGGGUCCUUAUGAAGGGUAAAUAGAUUUGGCAUAUCAUCGUUGUGGCUGUCACGUAGGUAAGAAGACGUUCUUGCUAGAAACCCAAAUCAGCCACGUAAAACUUGCAACAACAAUUAGAGGACGUCUAACUUGUUUUUGCAGGGUUUGACAUGUGAUGUGAUAUGGCCAAAGUUGUGAUGUUGCAUGUAUGAUGUAUGAGAUGAUCAUGCUAUUGUAAUAGGUUUCACGACUUGCAUGUCAAUGAGUAUGACAACCGGCAGGAGCCAUAGGAGUUGUCUUAAUUUAUUGUAUGAGAUGCAACGCCAUGUGCUUACUACUUUUACUUGAUUGCUAACGGUUAGCUAUAGUAGUAGUGAUAGUAGUAGUUGGCGUGACGACUUCACGGAGACACGAUGAUGGAGAUCAUGAUGAUGGAGAUCAUGGUGUCACGCCAGUGACGAUGAUGAUCAUGCGAUGCCUGAAGAUGGAGAUCGAAAGAGCAAAGAUGAUAAUGGCCAUAUCAUGUCACUAUAUGAUUGCAUUGUGAUGUUUAUCAUGUUUUACAUCUUAUUGCUUAGAACGACGGUAGCAUAAUAAGAUGAUCCCUCUUAAAAAUUUCGAGAACGUAUUCCCCUAAGUGUGCACCAUUGCGAAGGUUCGUUGUCUCGAAGCACCACGUGAUGAUCGGGUGUGAUAGAUUCUAACGUUCGCAUACAACAGGUGUAAGCCAGAUUUACACACGCGAAACACCUAGGUUGACUCAACGAGCUUAGCAUGUAAAGACAUGACCUUGAAUACAAGAGACCGAAAGGUCGAACAUGAGUCGUAUGGUUGAGUACGAUCAACAUGAAGUUGCUCACCAUGGUGACUAGUCCGUCUCACAUGAUGAUCGGACACGGGUUAGUCAACAUGGAUCAUGUAUCACUUAGAUGACUAGAGGGAUGUCGAUUUAAGUGGGAGUUCAUACUUAAUUUGAUUAAAUGAACUUAAUUGUCAUAAACUUAGUCUAAAAGUUGUCUUUAUAAAUAUUGUAGAUGGCCAACGUCAACCUCAAUUUCAACGCAUUCCUAGAGAAAAACAAGCUGAAAGAUGAUGGUAGCAACUAUGCGGACUGGGUUCGCAACUUGAAGCUCAUCCUUGAAGCAGCUAAAAAGGCUUAUGUCCUUGAUGCGCUGCUCGGUGACCCUCCCGCUCCCGCAGCAGCCCAGGACAUUCUGAACGUCUGGCAAACGCGGAGUGAUCACUACUCUCUGGUUAGGUGUGGCAUGUUAUACAGUUUAGAAACGGGGCUCCAAGGCGUUUUGAGCAACACGGGGCAUAUGAGAUGUUCCAGGAGCUGAAGCUAGUUUUUCAAGCUCAUGCCCGUGUCGAGAGAUAUGAAGUCCCCGACAAGUUCUUUAGUUGUAAGAUGGAGGAGAACAGUUCUGUCAGUGAGCACAUACUCAAGAUGUCUGGGUUACACGGUCGUCUGACUUCACUUGGAGUCGAACUUCCGGAUGAUGCUAUAAUUGACAGAAUCCUCCAGUCUCUCCCACCAAGCUACAAAGGCAUUGUGCUUAACUACAACAUGCAAGGGAUGGAGAAGACCAUUCCCGAGUUGUACUCGAUGCUCAACUCUGCAGAAGUAGAAAUCAAGAAAGAGCAUCAAGUGUUGAUGGUCAACAAGACCACUAGUUUCAAGAAAGGCAAGGGUAAGAAGAACUUCAAGAAAGACGGCAAAGUUGUUGCCGCGCCUGGUAAGCCAGAUGCCGGGAAGAAGAAAAAGAAUGGACCCAAGCCUGAGACCGAGUGCUUCUAUUGCAAGGGAAAAGGUCACUGGAAGCGGAACUGCCCCAAAUACUUCGCGGACAAGAAGGCCGGCAACGUUAAAGGUAUAUGUGAUAUACAUGUUAUUGAUGUGUACCUUACCAGCGCUCGUAGUAGCUCCUAGGUAUUUGAUACCGGUGCUGUUGCUCACAUUUGCAACUCAAAGCAGGAACUGUGGAAUAAGCGGAGACUGGCCAAGGACGAGGUGACGAUGCGCGUCGGGAAUGGUUCAAAGGUCGAUGUGAUCGCCGUCGGCACGCUAGCUCUACAUCUACCGUCGGGAUUAGUUUUAAACCUUAAUAAUUGUUAUUUAGUACCAGCUUUAAGCAUGAACAUUGUAUCAGGGUCUUGCUUAAUGCGAGACGGCUACUCAUUUAAGUCAGAGAAUAAUGGUUGUUCUAUUUAUAUGAGUGAUAUGUUUUAUGGUCAUGCUCCGCUGGUGAAUGGUUUAUUCUUGAUGAAUCUCGAUCGUGAUGUUACACAUGUUCAUAGUGUGAGUACCAAAAGAUGUAAAGUUGAUAAUGAUAGUCCCACAUACUUGUGGCACUGCCGCCUUGGUCAUAUCGGCGUUAAGCACAUGAAGAAGCUCCAUACUGAUGGACUAUUAGAGUCUCUUGAUUUUGAAUCAUUUGACACAUGCGAACCGUGCCUCAUGGGCAAGAUGACUAAGACUCCAUUCUCAGGUAUAAUGGAGAGAGCAACCGACUUAUUGGAAAUAAUACAUACUAAGGUGUGUGGUCCAAUGAACGUUGAAGCUCGCGGUGGCUAUCGUUAUGUUCUCACUCUCACCGAUGAUUUGAGUAGGUAUGGGUAUAUCUACUUGAUGAAGCACAAAUCUGAGACGUUUGAAAAGUUCAAGGAAUUUCAGAGUGAGGUUGAGAAUCAACGUUACAAAAAAAUUAAAUGUCUACGAUCUGAUCGUGGAGGGGAAUAUUUGAGUCACGAGUUUGGCACACACCUAAGGAAGUGUGGAAUCGUUUCACAACUGACGCCGCCUGGCACACCGCAACGCAACGGAGUGUAUGAACGUCGUAAUCAUAAUUUAUUAGAUAUGGUACGAUCUAUGAUGUCUCUUACCGACUUACCGCUAUCAUUUUGGGGAUACGCAUUAGAAACUGCAGCAUUCACUUUAAAUAGGGCACCGUCUAAAUCCGUUGAGAUGACACCGUAUGAACUAUGGUUUGGCAGGAAACCUAAGUUGUCGUUUCUUAAAGUUUGGGGCUGCGAUGCUUAUGUGAAGAAACUUCAACCAGAAAAGCUCGAACCCAAAGCGGAGAAAUGCGUAUUCAUAGGAUACCCUAAGGAAACUAUUGGGUAUACCUUCUAUCUUAGAUCCGAAGGUAAAACCUUUGUUACCAAGAACGGAUCCUUUCUAGAGAAAGAGUUUCUCUCGAAAGAAGUAAGUGGGAGGAAGGUAGAACUUGAUGAGGUAAUUACACCCCCUCCCGAACAGGAAAGUAGCGUAGCGCGGGAAGUUGUUCAUGUGGUGCCUACACCAACUGAAGAGGAAGUUAAUGAUGAUGAUCGUGAAGCUUUGGAUCAAGUUACUACUGAAUCACGAAGGUCCACAAGGGCACGCUCUGCACCAGAGUGGUACGGCAACCCUGUGAUGGAAAUCAUGUUGUUAGACAACGGUGAACCUUCGAACUAUGAAGAAGCAAUGGCGGGCCCGGAUUCCAACAAAUGGCUUCAGGCUAUGAAAUCCGAGAUAGGAUCCAUGUAUGAGAACAAAGUAUGGACUUUGGUGGACUUGCCCGAUGACCGGCGAGCCAUAGAAAAUAAAUGGAUCUUCAAGAAGAAGACUAAUGCAAACGGUAAUGUAACGGUUUACAAAGCUCGACUUGUCGCAAAAGGUUUUCGACAAAUUCAAGGAGUUGACUACGAAGAGACUUUCUCUCCCGUAGCGAAGCUGAAAUCAGUCCGAAUCAUGUUAGCAAUUGCCGCCUUUUAUGAUUAUGAAAUUUGGAAAAUGGACGUCAAAACAGCGUUCCUUAACGGGAACCUUAAGGAAGAGUUGUAUAUGAUGCAACCAGAAGGUUUUGUCGACCCUAAGGGUGCUAACAAAGUGUGCAAGCUCCAGCGCUUCAUCUAUGGGCUGGUGCAAGCAUCUCGGAGUUGGAACAUUCGCUUUAAUGAGGUGAUUAAAGCGUUUGGGUUCAUACAGGUUUACGGAGAAGCCUGUCUAUACAAGAAAGUGAGUGGGAGCUCUGUAGCUUUCCUCAUACUGUAUGUGGAUGACAUAUUAUUGAUGGGGAAUAAUAUAGAGAUGUUGGAGAGCAUAAAGGCCUAUUUGAACAAAAGUUUUUCAAUGAAGGACCUUGGAGAAGCUGCAUACAUAUUAGGCAUCAAGAUCUAUAGAGAUAGAUCAAGAUGCCUCAUAGGUCUUUUGCAAAGUACAUACCUUGACAAGAUAUUGAAGAAGUUCAAUAUGGAAAACUCAAAGAAAGGGUUCUUGCCAGUUCUGCAAGGUAUGAGAUUGAGUAAGACUCAGUCGCCGACCACGGUAGCAGAUAGAGAGAAGAUUAGUUCUGUUCCCUACGCUUCAGCCGUGGGCUCUCUAAUGUAUGUCAUGCUGUGUACCAGACCUGAUAUAAACCUUGCCAUAAGUUUGGUAGGGAGGUACCAAAGUGAUCCCGGUAUGGAACACUGGACAGCGGUCAAGAAUAUCCUUAAGUACCUGAAAAGGACUAAGGAAAUGUUUCUCGUUUAUGGAGGUGACGAAGAGCUCGUCGUAAAGGGUUACGUUGAUGCUAGCUUCGACACAGAUCCGGAUGACUCUAAGUCACAGACCGGAUACGUAUAUCUGUUGAGUGGUGGGGUAGUGAGCUGGUGCAGCAGCAAGCAAGAAGUCGUGGCAGCAUCUACAUGUGAAGCGGAGUACAUAGCUGCUUCAGAAGCAACUCAUGAAGGAAUUUGGAUGAAGGAGCUCAUCACCGACCUUGGAGUGGUUCCAAGCGCGUCGGGUCUAAUGACACUCUUGUGUGAUAACACUGGGCCAUUGCCAUAGCCAAGGAGCCCAGGUUUCACCGGAAGAUGAAGCACAUCAAACGCCGCUACAAAUCCAUCCAGGACCAUGUCGAGAGUGGAGUGACAGAUAUUUGUAAAGUACACACAGAUCCGAAAAUUGCAGACCCGUUGACUAAACCUCUUCCACAAGCAAAACAUGAUCAACACCAUAAUGCUAUGGGUGUUCGAUACAUCACAAUGUAACUAGAUUAUUGACUCUAGUGCAAGUGGGAGACNNNNNNNNNNNNNNNNNNNNNNNNNNNNNNNNNNNNNNNNNNNNNNNNNNNNNNNNNNNNNNNNNNNNNNNNNNNNNNNNNNNNNNNNNNNNNNNNNNNNGGGAGGGGGUGGCGCACCCCUAGGUGGGCCUUAGGCCCACUAGCGCCUAGGGUUCCCCCCCUCUCCACCUCCUGCGCCUUGGG
rnacentral:lncRNA from 1 species